UACAGGAGGUCCCGAGCGUUGUUCGGAUUCAUUGGGCGUAAAGGGUGCGUAGGCGGCGGGCAAGUCUGAUGUGAAAUCCUGGGCUCAACCCCAGAACUGCAUUGGAUACUGCCUUGCUAGAGUACUGGAGAGGGAACUGGAAUUUACGGUGUAGCAGUGAAAUGCGUAGAGAAUCAUGAGGAAGACCGAGGUGGCGGAAGGCCGGGUUCGCUGGAACAG
rnacentral:rRNA from 1 species